rnacentral:rRNA from 1 species
GACGUAGGGCGCGAGCGUUGUCCGGAUUUAUUGGGCGUAAAGAGCUCGUAGGCGGCUUGUCGCGUCGUCCGUGAAAACUUGGGGCUCAACUCCAAGCUUGCGGUCGAUACGGGCAGGCUCGAGUUCGGUAGGGGAGACUGGAAUUCCUGGUGUAGCGGUGAAAUGCGCAGAUAUCAGGAUGAACACCGGUGGCGAAGGCGGGGCUCUGGGCCGAUACUGACGCUGAGGAGCGAAAGCGUGGGGAGCGAACAGG